rnacentral:lncRNA from 1 species
GCUAUGGCCCCCUCGGUGGCCUGGGAGCAGGUGAGAGAUGGGCAAAUGGGAUCUUGGGGUUAGGAGAAGGAGCCACCUCAACAAUAUGUGGGGACGCUGCUGACUCCGCCCCACCCCCCUCAGAGCAGCAAACUGGUGCCCCUUCCGCGUCUCCUUUCCCUGCGUCUCCUUUCCCUCGUGCGCACACUGCCCUCCACCUAGGACACCAAGACUGUUCUGGCGCCAUCUCACCCGUGUGCCGCACCCAGGGCACCCCCAACCCCUCCCUGUCCCUGCUUGUUCUCUGUGCCAUCCCAUGGGGCCCCUGCGGGGGUGGGGGCGUGAGUCUGCUGCUGCGCGCCCUCUGGGCCGGCUGGGAGUGGGCUCCAGGGCCCCUGCCCCGCACCAGCGGGGCCCUCCACCCUCUGGGGUGGACUUACCGGAGCCAGAAUGGCUGUGGGGGAGGUGUCCUGGGAGACCCCGCAGGAGGGAAUCCUGGGACCCUCACCUACUCCCUGGGUCCCCCCGGCUGCAGAGGGGCUAUUAAACCUCAGAAGCCAGGUGGGCCCGCCCCAGCUCUGCUCUGGCUCCCCACCUUUCUCUCACACCCCUUAUCUCCAUCUGUCCCCCCAGGAUUUGGGAACGGGAAUGGACUGGGAACCCAGCCAGGCAUCGGAGCGGGUGUGAGAACCCAGAAGCCAGGUGAGCCUCCCGCCCUGUCACCCCCCAUCUCUGCUCUGCUGCCCUCCCGCAUUAUUCCCUUAUUCCAGCCUGACAGCUUCCCGCCCUGUCUCCCCAGGGUUUGGGAACGGAAAUGGGCUGGCAGCCGGGGCCUUCCCGGGUGCUGUCACCCAGCCAGGUGAGACAGGGGAAGGGGGGGCUGCUGAGGAGGCUGGGUCAGCAUUGGGAGGUCUCCCAGGCUCCCCCAGGGCAGAC